rnacentral:tRNA from 1 species
UUCCGUUUCGUCUAAUGGUAGGACACUGGUCUCUGAAGCCAAGAAUGGGAGUUCGACUCUCUCAGCGGAAACCA